CCUAAAUCCCCUUUUCCUUUCAAUUUUCCUCCACAGCCGCACCCUUCCUCUUCCAGCCAAAGCUUUCAUUUUUCACUCCACAGCUGCACUGCACACUCCCUCUCUCAGCCAAAGCUUCUUUGUCUUGUAGUUGGAGUUGGUUUUGGGAGGGCCAUUUCUACCACACAUUGAGCGCAUUCUUCGUGAUAAAGCAUCGUCAAUGUGUUCACUGGUAGUAUCAGCUACUGAUGGUGGAAUCAGAGCUACCAUAAAGGGACUGAAUUUUAAUGAUAAACCUUGUCAAGCUACCAUAAAGUGGGCCAUUAUCAAUUGUUUUCUUAUUUCUUCAAACUUCAUAGUGUGAUGGAAUUGGCAAUGUCAAUUUAUAAAACAAUGAUUUGGACAUUUAAUUAUACAUAUUUUAUUUUAUAUUA